rnacentral:rRNA from 1 species
GUCGAGCGAACGGACGAGAAGCUUGCUUCUCUGAUGUUAGCGGCGGACGGGUGAGUAACACGUGGAUAACCUACCUAUAAGACUGGGAUAACUUCGGGAAACCGGAGCUAAUACCGGAUGAUAUUUUGAACCGCAUGGUUCAAAAGUGAAAGACGGUCUUGCUGUCACUUAUAGAUGGAUCCGCGCUGCAUUAGCUAGUUGGUAAGGUAACGGCUUACCAAGGCAACGAUGCAUAGCCGACCUGAGAGGGUGAACGGCCACACUGGAACUGAGACACGGUCCAGACUCCUACGGGAGGCAGCAGUAGGGAAUCUUCCGCAAUGGGCGAAAGCCUGACGGAGCAACGCCGCGUGAGUGAUGAAGGUCUUCGGAUCGUCAAACUCUGUUAUUAGGGAAGAACAUAUGUGUAAGUAACUGUGCACAUCUUGACGGUACCUAUUCAGAAAGCCACGGCUAACUACGUGCCAGCAGCCGCGGUAAUACGUAGGUGGCAAGCGUUAUCCGGAAUUAUUGGGCGUAAAGCGCGCGUAGGCGGUUUUUUAAGUCUGAUGUGAAAGCCCACGGCUCAACCGUGGAGGGUCAUUGGAAACUGGAAAACUUGAGUGCAGAAGAGGAAAGUGGAAUUCCAUGUGUAGCGGUGAAAUGCGCAGAGAUAUGGAGGAACACCAGUGGCGAAGGCGACUUUCUGGUCUGUAACUGACGCUGAUGUGCGA